rnacentral:rRNA from 1 species
UACAGAGGGCUCAAGCGUUGUUCGGAUUCAUUGGGCGUAAAGGGUGCGUAGGUGGCGCGGUAAGUGGGGUGUGAAAUCUCGGGGCUUAACUCCGAAACUGCAGUCCAUACUGCGGUGCUCGAGGACUGGAGAGGAGACUGGAAUUCAUGGUGUAGCAGUGAAAUGCGUAGAGAUCAUGAGGAAGACCAGUGGCGAAGGCGGGUCUCUGGACAGUUCCUGACACUGAGGCACGAAGGCCAGGGGAGCAAACGGG